UGGGGAAUUUUGCGCAAUGGGAGAAAGCCUGACGCAGUAACGCCGCGUGGAGGAUGAAGGCCUUCGGGUUGUAAACUCCUGUCAGGGGGAAAGAAAGAUAAAAGGCUAAUAUCCUCUUUAUCUAGACGGUACCUCCGAAGGAAGCCCCGGCUAAUUCCGUGCCAGCAGCCGCGGUAAUACGGAAGGGGCAAGCGUUGUUCGGAAUCAUUGGGCGUAAAGGGCGCGUAGGUUGUUUUGUGUGUCUGCCGUGAAAGCGUACAGCUCAACUGUAUUAGGUCGGUGGAAACUGCAAAACUUGAGGCUGGGAGGGGCUGGUGGAAUUCCCUGUGUAGCGGUGAAAUGCGUAGAUAUCAGGAGGAACACCGGUGGCGAAGGCGGCUCUCUGGACGGUGACUGACGCUGAGACGCGAAAGCGUGGGGAGCAAACAGGAUUAGAUACCCUAGUAGUCCCUGAGCGGGCUGGCAAGGCGCAU
rnacentral:rRNA from 1 species